rnacentral:rRNA from 1 species
AAGAAACCAACAGGGAUUCCCCUAGUAACGGCGAGUGAAGCGGGAACAGCUCAAAUUUGAAAUCUGGCCCUUGGGUCCGAGUUGUAAUUUGUAGAGGAUGCUUUUGGUGCGGUGCCUUCCGAGUUCCCUGGAACGGGACGCCUUAGAGGGUGAGAGCCCCGUACGGUUGGACGCCUAGCCUCUGUAAAGCUCCUUCGACGAGUCGAGUAGUUUGGGAAUGCUGCUCUAAAUGGGAGGUAUAUUUCUUCUAAAGCUAAAUACUGGCCAGAGACCGAUAGCGCACAAGUAGAGUGAUCGAAAGAUGAAAAGCACUUUGAAAAGAGGGUUAAAUAGCACGUGAAAUUGUUGAAAGGGAAGCGUUUAUCACCAGACUUUUUCUGGGGGGAUCAUCCGGUGUUCUCACCGGUGCACUUCCCCCAGUUGAGGCCAGCAUCGGUUUUCGGAGGGGGAUAAAAGUUUCGGGAAUGUGACUCCCUCGGGAGUGUUAUAGCCCGUUACAUAAUACCCUUCUGGGGACCGAGGUUCGCGCAUCUGCAAGGAUGCUGGCAUAAUGGUGAUCAACGACCCGUCUUGAAACACGGACCAAGGAGUCGAACAUUUAUGCGAGUGUUUGGGUGUUAAACCCUCACGCGUAAUGAAAGUGAACGGAGGUGAGAGCCCUUACGGGUGCAUCAUCGACCGAUCCUGAUGUCUUCGGAUGGAUUUGAGUAAGAGCAUAACUGUUCGGACCCGAAAGAUGGUGAACUAUGCGUGGAUAGGGUGAAGCCAGGAGAAAUCCUGGUGGAGGCUCGCAGCGGUUCUGACGUGCAAAUCGAUCGUCAAAUCUGCGCAUGGGGCGAAAGACUAAUCGA